GACAAGGCAUGUAGAGCAGGAAAUAAGCACAAUACGGGUAAAAUGAGACAAUGUCAGAAUAGGACACCUUGGUUGAAAGAAAAUGUAUUUGUGGAAGAAAAAAGAACCUUCUGGGAGAUUCUGAAGUCUAGUGGUUGGGUGACGAGGCUGAGGCAGGAGAAUGGCUUGAACCUGGGAGGCAGAGCUUGCAGUGAGUUAUUGUUAUUGCUGUCAUAACGAUGAGCACUUCACAACAGCUGUCACCACCAGAUGCAGCAGCAAUUGCAUGGAAUCAUAACUUAAAAAAUUAACAACCAGAUUUCUGAAGUUAGAGUUCUUAGUUUCAAAUCUUGUCUGCAUCAAAAUUGCUCUGUGACUUUGGGAAAGUUUAACCACUGAUUUCUACCUUGAAGAAAAAAAUGAGUAUAAUAAUAUCUAUCUCGUAAAAUGGUGGUGAAGAUCACAUGGGAUAAUGCAAAUGAAGUUUGUAUCUUAUUGCCUGAUACAUAAAGUAUAUUCAAUAAAUAUUUGCCAUUA